UGAACGCUGGCGGCGUGCCUAAUACAUGCAAGUCGCGCGACCAGACGCGGAGCUUGCUCCUCUGACGUUAGCGGCGGACGGGUGAGUAACACGUGGAUAACCUACCUAUAAGACUGGGAUAACUUCGGGAAACCGGAGCUAAUACCGGAUAAUAUAUUGAACCGCAUGGUUCAAUAGUGAAAGACGGUUUUGCUGUCACUUAUAGAUGGAUCCGCGCCGCAUUAGCUAGUUGGUAAGGUAACGGCUUACCAAGGCAACGAUGCGUAGCCGACCUGAGAGGGUGAUCGGCCACACUGGAACUGAGACACGGUCCAGACUCCUACGGGAGGCAGCAGUAGGGAAUCUUCCGCAAUGGGCGAAAGCCUGACGGAGCAACGCCGCGUGAGUGAUGAAGGUCUUCGGAUCGUAAAACUCUGUUAUUAGGGAAGAACAAAUGUGUAAGUAACUAUGCACGUCUUGACGGUACCUAAUCAGAAAGCCACGGCUAACUACGUG
rnacentral:rRNA from 1 species